rnacentral:rRNA from 1 species
GAUGAACGCUAGCGGGAGGCUUAACACAUGCAAGUCGAGGGGCAGCAUAGGGUAGCAAUACUCUGAUGGCGACCGGCAAACGGGUGAGUAACGCGUAUGCAACCUACCCUGUACAGGGGGAUAACCCGGAGAAAUUCGGACUAAUAUCCCGUAAUAAUAUCCGGAGGCAUCUUUGGAUAUUUAAAGUUCCGACGGUACGGGAUGGGCAUGCGUAACAUUAGCUGGUUGGUAAGGUAACGGCUUACCAAGGCUAUGAUGUUUAGGGGUCCUGAGAGGGUGGUCCCCCACACUGGUACUGAGACACGGACCAGACUCCUACGGGAGGCAGCAGUGAGGAAUAUUGGUCAAUGGGCGCAAGCCUGAACCAGCCAUCCCGCGUGCAGGAAGACGACCCUAUGGGUUGUAAACUGCUUUUCCAGGGAGAGAAACUUACGCACGUGUUGCGUGACUGACGGUACCCUGGGAAUAAGCAUCGGCUAACUCCGUG